UGAAGGUAUACAGGAAAGUGUCAUGAUGCAACCUCUAGUUCACUGUACUCAGGUGUUGAUUAUUUUCCUAUAAC